UCCCAGCUGUGCUCUCUCACUGCUGCGGUUGAAUGGCCCGGCACGUGCAGCACGCUCUGCUCCUUUUCUCUCUCAGGCCGGGGGCCUCGCUUCUCAGCGGGCGACGCGCCCGUAACUGACACAUCUCAAAUGACAACAUCCGGAGCUGCGCUCCGGGCGUCUCCUUGCUCGCCCUCUCCGCUCGCCCCCGGGUGCCUCUCGGGCGAUCGCCGUGAAGAGAGACAGGAAGGCGGAAGCGGGCUCGGGCCCGCUGGUGUUCUAACGCCGGCGUGUACGGGUGAGUGGGGGGGAGCGCUGGAGGGAAAGAGCUGGCGCCGCGCUACGUGGACAAAGAGAGGGCAUCUGGCCUCGAGGAGGGGAACAGUGACAGACACGGGGAGGGAAAUAAACAGUGUAACAGCGGCGGGUUGGUCAGUAGCCAUAUUGUUGAAUGUGAUCUUUCUGGAAAUCAACUUGUCUUUUGUCACUAAUUCAAUGUGAGGAGAUAAAAGACACUUUGGUCGUCCCCAUCACAACCGUUCCAGAGCUCGCGAUCGCGUACUCGGCCCGUGUGGCUUCUUGCGAGCUGGCUGCCGGGGGGCUCAUUAAACCCAUCGACGGUGUUGGCUGCGUCACGCAGACCCUGGUCACAUAGAAAGGGAUUCACUGCAGCUUAGAUUGGACAUCACUGCAGGAACUAUGGACUAAAGAUAUUAGAAGAAGACACGACAACACAGCCUGAACAACUCCAUGGCAAGGACCUCCAAUCACAACAUGAAAUAGGAGGACCGACCGAAUGAAAGAAAUCUCGAGAGGACACAUUGGACCGACCGACUGGAACCAGGAAGCCUUCAUAAUGAGCGCUGUUGCUCUCGAAAAGCACCUGGCGGGUUCGUGUCUCCGCCGUGUUUCUCCUCCCCCCUGCUGGAGGCGGAUGCUGUGAUAAACAGACGGAUCAGCUGACAGGGAGCCGUCCUGAGAGAUGACAGACGGGGAGACGUGUCCAAUUGGUGCUCCGGGCAUCUCGCAUCCAGAUAGAUGACGAGACGAACUGCGGCAGCGAGAGACGUGUAACGAUAUUGACCGUCUUUUGAUGUUUAAUGGAGUCUCUCAAAGAGGAACCGCUACUGGAGGGGAGGGGGGGGUGUGAUGGAAAAAAUGGGGGUUAAAAGCGGCAUGGAGUAGAACUACUACAUUUUAAUUUACAAUGAGCAGCAUUCCUGUAGAGGAGAGCUGUCACCAAACCCAUGCAGCGAUGACGAGAAAGGAAACGACCGAGAGCCGUUCCAAAUGCAAUCAAGCUGGUAUGUAGAAGGUAUAGUGACAGUGCUGCUGUCUCGACUGUACCGCCGAAUCCACAACCCCCGCCCUCCCACAAGCCCACACAAGGAGUGUUAUUUUUAGUGUAUCACACUAUCUCUGAGAUGGAGCGUGGACCUCCCUCUCUGCAGGCCGGGGCUGCUGGGGCUCUUUCAUUUGAAUCCAGACUACAGAGAUGAAGAGAGUGACUCAUCCAGAGAUACCUCGAUGGCUUUGUGUCCCUGUUCCAUCUCACCGUCUAACUAACACCAUCGAAAUUCUCUCCAUCUCUUCUGCAGUCUGAGUCUGGCGCUCUUUGCUAAUGUGAAGGUCUGUCCUUCUGUCCGUCUACACGUGUACGUUUCAUGGCCUUAAAAUCUGCGCGACCAUUCCGUGUUUCAGAUCCUGUCCAAUUCAAUCCAAUCUAGGAGUGAAAUGCAGACUAAUAAGCAGUCUUGGCAUUCUAUUCCUCAUCCAUAUUCUGCAGCACAAACAUGGUUGGCUGCGUAUUACCCUGAAAUGAUGGCAAUUACUGCUAUAAUGAGUGCAAAGACAAACCCUGAGCAGGGUGCAGCUGAGGGAGAGAUCCUUCAAGCUUGAUUUGAAUACAGUAAAAUGCUCCACGGAUAGCUCGAUGCUCGGAAUUGUUCCGAAAUGGUUUUCAUGCCGCGGACGGACAAAUGUAAAUGCGUCAAUAAAUUGCUUCCCCCUUGUUUGCCUUUUUCUGCUGCCUCCGUAAUUAACCCCAUAGCAGCUCCAUAAAGUAAAAACACGGAUGUGAAAAACAAUGCAGCCUCCGGGGGAAGAGUACUGCUAAAAACAGCCCGCGAUAUGAAGUCAAUCUAUUUAACUCAAUCUGAGAACGCCUUUAUGUUGGUGCUCAUGAGCUCUGGGUAGUGACCGAAAGAGUGAGAUGGCAGACUUAAGCAGCCGACAUUACUUUCCUUUCACCUUAGGAGAUAAAGUGAGAAGCAUCCGGAGGGAGCACGGAGGAAAAGCUGCCACUCCUUCGCUUCAGGGAUAUCUAAAAGUGGUGUUUUUGGUAUCGGACAAGGACUCCUCAGAGAGCUCUUCUUGCCGGUUUCCCAUCCAUGUCCGACUGGUAUGUAGACUCAGAUCAAUGUAGAAUGCUUAAAGGUCGACGUGGUUUGCAGCAUUGUGUCCUCAUACAACGAUUGGUCUGAAAGUUACUCCUCAUUCAUGAAGUUACUCCUCAUUUCAAACGCGUUUUCCUACAAAAGUCGGCAACAGGUGUCAAUUUAAUCCGUGUUUAGCGAUUUCAGAUCAGCGGAAAACGAUAUCAUGAGAACCGAGAGCGUGAAAUAAAACAAUGAGCUGAACGAUGCGAUAAAGCUCGAUGCUAUAAUAACGUAGUGUAAAUUAUAGCCGCUUGUAAUUAAAACACCAACCAUGGUGCACACUAUGAACUUAUGUAAUUAAAGAUUAUACCAGCAAAAUUAAACACUGAGUAUUUUAUGAUACAUCCCUAGAGUUGAAAUAUACCAUGCAUUUAUUUAACAAGGGCAAUUAGUGAAACUCCAAUUAUAGUGCAGUUAUAAUAAUUGUGUGAG